UGUAUUAUUAAAACUAUCUACAUUUACCUAUUGCUGUUGAAUAUUAAAUUAAAUCAUUAGCAUAUUUGUAUCUUUGAAUUCCAGCUUCAACUUCAGAUACUGCAACUACAGCUUCAACUUCAGAUACUGCAAGUACAGCUUCAACUUCAGAUACUGCAACUACAGCUUCAACUUCAG